AGAAUCAACGCUGGCGGCGUGCCUAACACAUGCAAGUCGCACGAGAAAGUGGAGCAAUCCAUGAGUACAGUGGCGCACGGGUGAGUAACACGUGAAUCAUCUACCUCCGAGUGGGGAAUAACCUAGAGAAAUCUGGGCUAAUACCGCAUAAUACCCACGGGUCAAAGCAGCAAUGCGCUUGGAGAGGAGUUCGCGGCCGAUUAGUUAGUUGGCGGGGUAAUGGCCCACCAAGACGAUGAUCGGUA
rnacentral:rRNA from 1 species